AUUAGACGAAUCAUCUGGAAAGAUGAAUCAAAGAAGGUAAUAAUCCUGUAGUCGAAAAUGUUGUCUCUCUUGAGUGGAUCCUGAGUACGACGGAGCACGUGAAAUUCCGUCGGAAUCUGGGAGGACCAUCUCCUAAGGCUAAAUACUCUCUAGUGACCGAUAGUGAACCAGUACCGUGAGGGAAAGGUGAAAAGCACCCCGGAAGGGGAGUGAAAUAGAACCUGAAACCGUGUGCUUACAAGUAGUCAGAGCCCGUUAAUGGGUGAUGGCGUGCCUUUUGUAGAAUGAACCGGCGAGUUACGAUUUGAUGCAAGGUUAAGCAGUAAAUGUGGAGCCGUAGCGAAAGCGAGUCUGAAUAGGGCGUUUAGUAUUUGGUCGUAGACCCGAAACCAGGUGAUCUACCCUUGGUCAGGUUGAAGUUCAGGUAACACUGAAUGGAGGACCGAACCGACUUACGUUGAAAAGUGAGCGGAUGAACUGAGGGUAGCGGAGAAAUUCCAAUCGAACCUGGAGAUAGCUGGUUCUCUCCGAAAUAGCUUUAGGGCUAGCCUCAAGUGAUGAUUAUUGGAGGUAGAGCACUGUUUGGACGAGGGGCCCCUCUCGGGUUACCGAAUUCAGACAAACUCCGAAUGCCAAUUAAUUUAACUUGGGAGUCAGAACAUGGGUGAUAAGGUCCGUGUUCGAAAGGGAAACAGCCCAGACCACCAGCUAAGGUCCCAAAAUAUAUGUUAAGUGGAAAAGGAUGUGGCGUUGCCCAGACAACUAGGAUGUUGGCUUAGAAGCAGCCAUCAUUUAAAGAGUGCGUAAUAGCUCACUAGUCGAGUGACACUGCGCCGAAAAUGUACCGGGGCUAAACAUAUUACCGAAGCUGUGGAUUGUCCUUUGGACAAUGGUAGGAGAGCGUUCUAAGGGCGUUGAAGCAUGAUCGUAAGGACAUGUGGAGCGCUUAGAAGUGAGAAUGCCGGUGUGAGUAGCGAAAGACGGGUGAGAAUCCCGUCCACCGAUUGACUAAGGUUUCCAGAGGAAGGCUCGUCCGCUCUGGGUUAGUCGGGUCCUAAGCUGAGGCCGACAGGCGUAGGCGAUGGAUAACAGGUUGAUAUUCCUGUACCACCUAUAAUCGUUUUAAUCGAU
rnacentral:rRNA from 1 species